CUACGGGAGGCAGCAAUGAGGACUAUUGCACAAUGGGGGGAACCCUGAUGCAGCAACGCCGCGUGGAGGAUGACGCAUUUCGGUGUGUAAACUCCUUUUAUAUGUCAAGAAAAUGACGGUAGCAUAUGAAUAAGCACCGGCUAACUCCGUGCCAGCAGCCGCGGUAAUACGGAGGGUGCAAGCGUUACUCGGAAUCACUGGGCGUAAAGGACGCGUAGGCGGGUUGGAAAGUCAGGUGUGAAAUCCUACAGCUUAACUGUAGAACUGCACUUGAAACUUCUAAUCUAGAGUAUGGGAGGGGGAGGUGGAAUUAGUGGUGUAGGGGUAAAAUCCGUAGAUAUCACUAGGAAUACCUAAAGCGAAGGCGAUCUCCUGGAACAUUACUGACGCUAAGGCGUGAAAGCGUGGGGAGCAAACAGGAUUAGAUACCCGAGUAGUC
rnacentral:rRNA from 1 species